GCGGGGGCGGGCUCUCCCGAGAGCAGCGCUGCAGCCGCUGUAUUGGACGUGUCGGCGAAGAUGGCGGGUCGGAGUAUGCAAGCUGCACGAUGUCCUACAGAUGAAUUAUCUUUAACCAACUGCGCAGUUGUGAAUGAAAAGGAUUUCCAGUCUGGACAGCAUGUGAUAGUGAGGACUUCUCCCAACCAUAGGUACACAUUUACACUGAGGACCCAUCCGUCAGUGGUUCCAGGGAGCAUCGCAUUCAGCUUACCCCAGCGAAAGUGGGCUGGACUUUCUAUUGGACAAGAAAUAGAAGUGUCUUUAUAUACAUUUGACAAGGCCAAGCAGUGUAUCGGCACGAUGACCAUCGAGAUCGAUUUCCUGCAGAAGAAAAGCAUUGAUUCCAACCCCUAUGACACUGACAAGAUGGCAGCAGAAUUUAUUCAGCAGUUCAACAACCAGGCUUUCUCUGUGGGACAACAGCUUGUAUUUAGCUUCAAUGACAAGCUUUUUGGUUUACUGGUGAAGGAUAUUGAAGCCAUGGAUCCUAGCAUCCUGAAGGGGGAGCCUGCGACAGGUAAAAGACAGAAGAUUGAAGUAGGACUGGUUGUUGGAAACAGUCAAGUUGCAUUUGAAAAAGCAGAAAAUUCUUCACUAAAUCUUAUUGGCAAAGCUAAAACCAAGGAAAAUCGCCAGUCUAUCAUCAAUCCUGACUGGAACUUUGAAAAAAUGGGAAUAGGUGGUCUGGACAAGGAAUUUUCAGAUAUUUUUCGACGAGCAUUUGCUUCCCGAGUAUUUCCUCCAGAGAUUGUGGAGCAGAUGGGUUGCAAACAUGUUAAAGGCAUCCUGUUAUAUGGGCCCCCAGGUUGUGGUAAGACUCUCUUGGCUCGACAGAUUGGCAAGAUGUUGAAUGCAAGAGAGCCCAAAGUGGUUAACGGACCAGAAAUCCUUAACAAAUACGUGGGAGAAUCAGAGGCCAACAUUCGUAAACUUUUUGCUGAUGCUGAAGAGGAACAAAGGAGGCUUGGUGCUAACAGCGGUUUGCACAUCAUCAUCUUUGAUGAAAUUGAUGCCAUCUGCAAGCAGAGAGGGAGCAUGGCUGGCAGCACAGGAGUUCACGACACUGUUGUCAACCAGCUGCUGUCCAAAAUUGAUGGGGUAGAGCAAUUGAACAACAUCCUAGUUAUUGGAAUGACCAACAGACCAGAUCUGAUAGAUGAGGCUCUCCUUCGACCUGGAAGACUGGAAGUUAAAAUGGAGAUCGGCUUACCCGAUGAGAAAGGUCGACUACAGAUCCUUCACAUCCACACAGCAAGAAUGAGAGGACAUCAGUUACUCUCUGCUGACGUAGAUAUUAAAGAACUGGCCGUGGAGACCAAGAAUUUCAGUGGUGCUGAGCUGGAAGGUCUGGUGCGAGCAGCACAGUCCACUGCUAUGAACAGACACAUAAAGGCCAGCACUAAAGUAGAAGUGGACAUGGAGAAAGCAGAGAGCCUUCAGGUGACAAGAGGGGACUUCCUUGCUUCUUUGGAGAAUGAUAUCAAACCUGCAUUUGGCACAAACCAAGAGGACUAUGCAAGUUACAUUAUGAAUGGUAUCAUCAAAUGGGGUGACCCAGUUACUCGGGUUCUAGAAGAUGGGGAACUGCUUGUUCAACAGACUAAAAACAGUGACCGUACACCAUUGGUUAGCGUCCUUUUGGAAGGCCCUCCUCACAGUGGGAAGACUGCUUUAGCUGCAAAGAUUGCAGAAGAAUCCAACUUCCCUUUCAUCAAAAUCUGUUCUCCUGAUAAGAUGAUUGGCUUUUCUGAGACAGCCAAAUGUCAGGCCAUGAAGAAGAUCUUUGAUGAUGCAUACAAAUCCCAGCUCAGUUGCGUGGUUGUGGAUGACAUUGAGAGACUGCUUGAUUAUGUCCCUAUUGGCCCUCGAUUUUCUAACCUGGUGUUACAGGCUCUUCUUGUAUUACUGAAAAAGGCACCACCUCAGGGCCGCAAGCUUCUUAUCAUUGGAACCACUAGCCGCAAAGAUGUCCUGCAGGAGAUGGAAAUGCUUAACGCUUUCAGCACCACCAUCCACGUACCCAACAUUGCUACGGGAGAGCAGCUGUUGGAGGCUUUGGAGCUUUUGGGUAACUUCAAGGAUAAGGAACGUAUCACAAUUGCACAGCAAGUCAAAGAGAAGAAAGUCUGGAUAGGAAUCAAGAAGUUACUAAUGUUGAUUGAGAUGUCUCUACAGAUGGAUCCUGAAUACCGUGUGAGAAAAUUCUUGGCCCUCUUAAGAGAAGAAGGAGCUUAAGUAGACACAACACUUAAGACUGUCAACCAAACUUACCACUCUGUUAACAAUUUCAGUGCUUUUUUUUUCUAACAGUUGCUAUGUAGUGCAUAUAAAUUUGAAUUAUCAGCCUUCAUUAGCUAACUUUGUUACCAUUUAUAAGAAUUCUUCACUGUGUUGUAGGUCUGAGAGACCAAGCAAGGAAGUUGAUUAUACUGUUGGUUUGCUUCCCCUGUCCUGCUUCGCAAAACUUACUUGUCACAAUGCAAGAAAAAACUCGAUGUAGCCCCCUUGACUUUGAUUGAAAAUGGACUAUUUGCAACACACAGUGACCAAGGAAAGGGACCAAUGUGAAGAUGACAGGGAAUCAUCACUCAUCUUACUCAAGACACUGGACUAAGUGAAAUGAUCUCUGCCUUCAACACUUACUUGCUCUGCAUGUUUAGUGCAAUAAAACUCCCUUCCAUAUGCUUAUUGAGAUACUCUAGUAUUUUGUGGAAGGUACAAAUCUGCUUUAGAAUGCUGUGCUUACCUUUCCGUGCAAGCUAACAUGACUCCUUCUUACUCAGUUUUCGAGGAGGUAUACUAUACUUGUGAACACUGUACUUUUCAAGCUCCCUACCACCAUACCCCAAAACUCACAAUAAGUGUAGUCACUGUUACAAGACAAGGAAGAAUCGACAUGCGAACCAGGAACGGACUAGAGCUCGGGGUUCAAGGGCCCACUUCAUAGCCUCCCUGUGUUGGCACUAAAGGUAACUGGGUAUUUGGUUAAAGGUUCCCCAGAAAACUGGCUAUUAUCUUUGCCUAAAGAAGCAGGGCUUUGAAUUUCUAAGAUGCUCUUCUUAAUCAUUUUCAGAGAUGUUUCCAAGUUGCAAUCAGGAGAGCUUUCUUAAUAGAAAGUCAGAUUAUUACUGCGUUGGCUGUGACAUCCCCUUAAUACAAUUAAUUUGCUCUGUGGUAGGAGGUACGCUAAUCAUUACCACUUGGUAGAUGUUAAAAACUUGUGAAAGAUAUAUAUGGAAAAAGUGUGCACCACUAAACAGAAGAAAAUUAGUUAUUAAAAGAUAUUUGCAAACCUCUCAACAUUAGUGUCCAACUUUAAGUGGGACAGUUCCUUAGAUUAAUAUGAAGGGCUUAUUGGUAUCUCUACUUUUCCUCUUAAUCUUAAUUACUUACUUAGAACUUAUACUUCCUUUAUUUAAAUUAUCUGUAUGAUGCAGUUUCAAAAUAAAAUACUGUUCUCCAGAAAAAUAAACCACUUUCCAGCCCUCUCCCCCACCCUUUAACGUCCAUUCCAAAACAUUUAACACAUUUCUUGUACCUUCUACGUGCUUCUUCCAAAGGAAAGAAGAACUCACUGAGUCCUUUUGAGGAUGAUUUUUCAUACAACUGAGUUAGAAGGAAUUUAAUUAGAUUGUCCCACUUGAUAAGACAUAGAGCAUGCCAGUCUCCCCACUGCUGUUGAAAAUGCAAGGAAAGUGGAAGCCAUCUGAAGGUGCUCAACGCCAGUAAGGCUUGUGGCCCAGUGAUACUCGGACACGGUCCUGUCAUCAGUCCCCAUGGUAGUAAGCAGACCAUCUCCAAAUCUUGCUACCUUCUUUUGGUAGAGACUUGCACAUCAUACCUGCUUUGUUUUUGAAUGGUCAUCCCUAGCUUAUUUUGUGGCUCUUUAAAAAGUGGAUUUGUAUUGUGAAAUUCUGUGGUGGCUGGUGGCCACUAUCUGGAUUCCCUUAUCUGGUUAAGAUUUUGCCUCUUCUCAUGAAAGCAGCACGCUCCGUAUUAACUUAUGUCUCUAGUAAAUGAGGUUAAUGUUGUAUUUUGUCCAAAACUAUAUUGAAAAAUAUAAAUAUUAUAUUGUUUAAUGCAAAUGAAGGAAUGCAAUAAACAGUACCUAUACUUGGAAA